UACGUAGGGUGCAAGCGUUAAUCGGAAUUACUGGGCGUAAAGCGUGCGCAGGCGGUUGUGCAAGUCAGAUGUGAAAUCCCCGGGCUCAACCUGGGAAUUGCAUUUGUGACUGCACGGCUAGAGUGUGUCAGAGGGGGGUAGAAUUCCACGUGUAGCAGUGAAAUGCGUAGAGAUGUGGAGGAAUACCGAUGGCGAAGGCAGGUCUCUGGGCUGAUACUGACGCUCAUGCACGAAAGCGUGGGGAGCAAACAGG
rnacentral:rRNA from 1 species